CUUCAGUGAUGCUAAUUACACAUCCUCUCCCUAACAAAUGGCCGGGUAUUCUGCGCAUCAGAGCCAGAGGGCCCUUUAAUCCCACCAUCGAGACGCAGAGGUGUUUCUACUCCAAAGGCCAAAUACGGUGUCGCCAAACUCCGGGGAAAGAACACAAGGAAGACGCGUUGUCAGGGGCAACCGAGCUCCACUUCCAUCGUGAAUCACGGUGGCCUCAUUCUGACAGGUCCCGCUGCAGCCCAGCCCUGAUCAUGGCAGUGACUCAGCUCUGAUGAGACUUCAGAUGCUGUUUUUAAGGUGGGGGGAGCAAGGAGACCCAGAAAGGCUUUAUUAUGUUUUCCUAAAUUUUAAUAGCCUGAACUAAAUCUCCACUUCGACACCAAAUUGUGGAAAAGUUACCCUGCCCCUGAAAUUACGUAACCGACACAGUUUACUGUUUAAUAUCACAGCUUGCCCGUUUAAGUCACAAACCACUGCCGGGGUGAAGUCUGGAAAAGGGGGCAGGGGUGGAAGAGCCUGGAAUCAAGAGCGAUGCAGAGGAAGGAACACUAGCUCAAGGCUCGGGCGCAUGCCCUUCGUAAUGAUUCUAAACUCUUAUUCUUGGACAAAGGCUGAGGGCUCUCAGGUGCCCCCCUCGACCCCGGGUGGUUUCUGCCACCAGCGUCCCCUCGCCACCUCUGGUAGAGGCCGCCAUCGGGCUGCGGGACUCUCCAGGGGACACUCCGCUCCAGCAGCACUCGGCCAGCGGAGCGUCUGUACGCGUCACACCGGCCUCUGUACACACACGCUUGCUUCUCUGCACAAGCCCUUCUUGGACAGUCUUUCCCGGAGCAAACCCUCUUCCAGGCUGGACGGCCUGGGAAGAAACCACCCCGAACUGGCCCCCGUGAUUCUGCGAGAAGGGGGACAGGAAAGGCGGGGCCCCCACGCAGCAGAGGGUCUGCUCCUGGCCACCCCGGACCGGAGACUCCUCUCUGAGCCCAAAGCAAGACCCAGGCGGAACCCCGGCCAGGGCGGCCUUCCUCUUUCAGACCCGCACGAACCCACGUCCAGAACCACUCAGGAGCCAGAACUUGGCAGCAAACGUGUCCAACGCCGGGGACAGGAAGGAUGGAGACGGGCGGGUCUGCUGGGAAAGCUCCGGCCCGGGGCCGGCUCUUCUCCCCCAGGACCGCGUGGACGCGGCAACAGCCUCCUCCUCAGCCGCCGGCCAGCAAUGGGCCCAGCGAGUUCAACUUAACUCUACCAGACAUGGUGCAAAUGAAUUGUAUUUAACUCCAUCAGCCACCUGAGGGUUUGUCUCGAGAUGGAAUAAUUUUAGCUUAUGCUGCCAUAAGUCCCUAACUAAGGCGGAAAGUAAUUACCUAAGGAUUUACCAUAAUGAGUUCACUGACACUCGUGAUUUAUGACAGUGUGUGAACAUGCAAAUCUCCAGACUGCAGCAUCCCAGGCCUGGGUGGGCACAAGGAGGACAGGAAAAAUUAACGUGUUUUAGGCACGUAUAAACUCAUGAAGCCACCUGAGUUCAGAGUCUUUCUUAAGGACUAAUAAUUGCAGAGGGGCCUGGUCGAAGUUUACACUGUCAGAACAGGGCCUGUUAAGGAAAUGAACUAUGUACAGCAGACAGGAAACGUUCUCAGAAAAUACGCUGCCUGGAAACAAUUAAAAAGUGGGCUUUUUUUUAAAAAAAAUGCAGAGUUCCUGCUCAGCAGGUUAAGAACACGACUAGCCUCCUGGUUUGAUCCCUGGCCUCGCUCAGAGAGUUAAGGAUCCAGUGUUGCCGUGAACUUCAGUGUAGCUUGCAGACGUGUCUAGGAUCUGGUGUUGCUGUGGCUGUGGUGCAGGCCUGCAACUGCAGCUCCCAUUUGACCUCCUAGCCUGGGAACGUCCAUAUGCAGCAGGUGCAGCCACAAACAAACAAACAAACAAAAAGAAAUCGGGCUUCAGUGCGGCUCAUGCUAAGAAGAAAGCAUAUUUACCCAUCAAAGCGGCACUUAGUAGCAUGUGGCUGGGGGAACGGUCCGUGUGUCUGAAAGUACCUACAAGUAAUAGCAACCUGUCCAAAAUGCCGCUCCUUAUAAAAUGUCCUGAUCUUCCACAUUUCAUUUAUUCUGAACCAUCUCCCCAUUGAAACAAUUCUCAUGCAGGCACUUGUGCCUCAUGCAUUUAGGAUGCACCAGCUGUGGGCCCAGCACUCUGGGUAUAAAGAGGGUAAGAUUUCUGCGUCUCCAAGCGGAGUAGGAGGAAGCCCCGGAUCACGUGGUUUUCUGGGUCUGGGACCUGCACUGACGGGGGAGGGGCACUGCCUUCAAAGGCAAAGUCUCUGGUCCUGGUCGUUAUUGGUCUGUGGUUCAAGGUGAGAAGUCUAACGAGGACUUGACCAGGGACCAGCCUACGGCUGACGGGCCACCCAACGCCUUCUGCGCCCACGUGCUCAGGUGCUGUCUCCCGCAUGGAGGUACCUGCCAGGAACCUGCCACAUUUAAUGUGGAUACAUGGUCUCCAAAGCCUCGUGCUUUCACAGGUUGCCUCAUUCUACUAAAGAUUUAAAGAGGUUUAGGAAAGAAAUGACACAGUAAAAUAAUGUUGGAACCUAAAUUAAAAUAAAGAAUCAACGUGGGGGUGGGGUGUUACUUCU
rnacentral:lncRNA from 1 species